UUAAUACAUACAGCAGCACAUCUUACAACCUCUUAUAACCUACAUUAAUAUAUAUAUAUAUAUAUGUAUAUUAAUGUAGCUCUUAUAACCUACCUACGUAUAUUAAUGUAGCUCUUAUAACCUACCUAUGUAUAUUAAUGUAGCUCUUAUAACCUACCUACAUAUAUUACAGUUUGUACAGUAGUCAAACAAUGCCUUAACGCAGGGGGGUCAAAAUCAAUUGCUGUGUCUCUGCUGAUCCUGGACGAGGGUUGUGUCUCUGCUGAUCCUGGACGAGGGCUGUGUCUCUGCUGAUCCUGGACGAGGGUUGUGUCUCUGCUGAUCCUGGACGAGGGCUGUGUCUCUGCUGAUCCUGGAUGAGGGUUGUGUCUCUGCUGAUCCUGGACGAGGGUUGUGUCUCUGCUGAUCCUGGACGAGGGCUGUGUCUCUGCUGAUCCUGGACGAGGGCUGUGUCUCUGCUGAUCCUGGACGAGGGUUGUCUCUCUGCUGGUCCUGGACGAGGGCUGUCUCUCUGCUGGUCCUGGACGAGGGCUGUCUCUCUGCUGGUCCUGGACGAGGGCUGUCUCUCUGCUGGUCCUGGACGAGGGCUGUCUCUCUGCUGGUCCUGGACGAAGGCUGUCUCUCGGCUGAUCCUGGAGGGUUUGACACCGAUGUCAUAACAACUACUUACAUGACAGAUGUAUGACUAGUUUUGCCGGUGAAUAACUUCAUACAUUUAGACAGUCACUCACCUUGUUUCUGAGUCUGGUCUCUCAAACUCAGUCAGAGCAGAAGAAGCAGUCCUGUAAAGAUGUCCCUCAUGUCUCCAUAUUCUGAUCUGUUUGAAGAACAAACGCUUUGUAGAGGAGUAGUGUUGUAGUGCAGAGUCCUUCUCUCUCUUCCUCCUCCUCCUCCUCUCUCUUCCUCCUUCUCUACUCAGUAGAGUUCCUCUCAGCUGUGUGGUACUGACUGAGCUUUCUCCUCUUGUUGAAUCUCUCUUCCUCCUCCUCCUUCUCUCUCUUCCUCCUCCUCUCUCUUCCUCCUCCUCCUUCUCUCUCUUCCGUCCCUCCCUCUCUCACAGUCAAGAUAACACAAAAUUCACCAAAGCCCCUUCUCCCAAACGUUGAUCGGUCUGCCCUUUUUCCCCCUCUAACUCUCUCCACCUCCUCUCUCUACCCCUUCCUCGCCC
rnacentral:lncRNA from 1 species